rnacentral:lncRNA from 1 species
UCAAGCAACUCGAUUUGGACAGCAAUUGAAUUUGCUUUGCUGGAUGCAAGAUUCCAAUCAUUCUCAGAUAGCCUGUAUUCGUUGGACAAACGAAGAAGAGCCCUGUAAUGUUCCACAGUUUCCUUCUUCCCCUUCUUGAAACCUUCGGCGGCAUCACAUCCGUAAACCUCCUCUAUGGGACGCUUCAUCAUCUUCUUUGAACUUCCUUCCAUUGAAACUUUGUCCUGCAACAAAAUCGAAACUAAGAUGUUACGAUAAAAUAGAAAUAGAAAAAAGUUCAUGAAUUGAAUGGAAAAUGAGAAAAAUCGAAAACUAACUUGUAUUGCAAAAGGAUAUAUCAAGCGAAAUGAAGUGAGUGAAUAAAAGGUCUGAUAUCGUCCCUUAUAUUUAUAGAACAAAAAGGAACUCUUCGAUUAUUGAAGUCAGUUAAAAUAAACUCUUGAUUAUUGUGGAACUCUUCGAUUAUUGAAGUCAGUUACUGAAAUAACCAAUCAUAUAACACCCAAUCUUGACGAAAAGAAACUCUUCGGUUACUGAGUUACAUGAUGUCGUUUGGAAGAGACUCUUCGAUUCCUGAGAUAUAUGUUUGAACAAAAAAAAAAAAAUCACCCAUUACUCGUAGGAGAGUCGAACCCGGGUCGAUCAAAUGUUUCGGUAUCAUAGGUUUCGUGGUUUAGCCGCUAGGCUGAGGAGAAUCAUCUGUUAGUUGCUUCCACAUAAUUGAAUUUACCCAUACAAUUUAUAGUAUAAUACAUUGGAAAGAUCUUUGAUAGUUCAGGAUGGGCUUCCGAUUGCGACAAAUGUGAUUCCUGAGAUAUAUGUUUGAACAAAAAAAAAAAAUCACCCAUUACUCGUAGGAGAGUCGAACCCGGGUCGAUCAAAUGUUUCGGUAUCAUAGGUUUCGUGGUUUAGCCGCUAGGCUGAGGAGAAUCAUCUGUUAGUUGCUUCCACAUAAUUGAAUUUACCCAUACAAUUUAUAGUAUAAAUACAUUGGAAAGAUCUUUGAUAGUUCAGGAUGGGCUUCCGAUUGCGACAAAUGUGAUUCCUGAGAUAUAUGUUUGAACAAAAAAAAAAAAAAUCACCCAUUACUCGUAGGAGAGUCGAACCCGGGUCGAUCAAAUGUUUCGGUAUCAUAGGUUUCGUGGUUUAGCCGCUAGGCUGAGGAGAAUCAUCUGUUAGUUGCUUCCACAUAAUUGAAUUUACCCAUACAAUUUAUAGUAUAAUACAUUGGAAAGAUCUUUGAUAGUUCAGGAUGGGCUUCCGAUUGCGACAAAUGUGAUUCCUGAGAUAUAUGUUUGAACAAAAAAAAAAAAAUCACCCAUUACUCGUAGGAGAGUCGAACCCGGGUCGAUCAAAUGUUUCGGUAUCAUAGGUUUCGUGGUUUAGCCGCUAGGCUGAGGAGAAUCAUCUGUUAGUUGCUUCCACAUAAUUGAAUUUACCCAUACAAUUUAUAGUAUAAAUACAUUGGAAAGAUCUUUGAUAGUUCAGGAUGGGCUUCCGAUUGCGACAAAUGUGAUUCCUGAGAUAUAUGUUUGAACAAAAAAAAAAAAUCACCCAUUACUCGUAGGAGAGUCGAACCCGGGUCGAUCAAAUGUUUCGGUAUCAUAGGUUUCGUGGUUUAGCCGCUAGGCUGAGGAGAAUCAUCUGUUAGUUGCUUCCACAUAAUUGAAUUUACCCAUACAAUUUAUAGUAUAAAUACAUUGUAUAUUACAAAAGUUGGAUGUUACAAAAGUUGGAUGGGAUUCCAGAAUAGUUGAAUAUUACUGUGUUUUUUUCUAGCAAAGAAGUUUAAACUAAAAAUUGAAAUGAGAUCAAAAGAUAAUGUUGUAUAUUACAAAAGUUGUAAGAAAUCAUACUUAUUCAGGAUAGGGUUCCAAAAGAAAAAAUGUAUAUGGUCUUGUGCAUAUCAUGUAACCAUCAAAUAGCCAAACAUCCAAAUAAUAAUCGAUAAAAAUGUAAAAAUGUAGAACUUCAUCCUAUAGGCCUCUGGCAUGUGAUCUUGUUGUGCCCUCCUGUGCCACAUCUGCUGCACUUGUGGGACUGAGAUUUAGAUCCAGGAACCCCAAACUCGCCAACGGAUCUCUUUCUCUUUGUAGGAGGGCGUCCACUUUUCUUUUUGGUAGCUGGAGGUGGGCAAGACAGUUCAUCAAUAUUCUCUGGAUAGGUGGACGUUGACAACUCUCCACCAGGAUGUAUGCUUUCAGCAUAAGCUUUAGCCCACGUUUCUGUCAAGUGAGAAGCAUCAACAAAACGGUUUUCAUCUCUCUUGAUAUGCUUAGCAGCAGCGAUGGCAUGGAUGCAGGGGAUCUUGUCAAUGUCGAAAACAUUACAUGUGCAAUGCCGCUUCUCCAAGUCAACAACAAACUUCAUUGUUUCAUUC